rnacentral:pre_miRNA from 1 species
UCUAGGAAGAGGAAGAAAGAGAAGGCGUAAGAGUAGUGGGAAUGAGAACGUAGAGGAAACCCUAACUUUACUAGUUCUUUACCUCUUUUACUGAGGUGGAAAUUCAGUUUGGCAUUUCUCGACGCCUCUCAUUCCUAUUAUUCUUAGGCGCUCCUUCCUAUUCCUUUUUUUA